UGGACCGUGUGUGACUGGCGGAGCAUGGGGAACCAUGAGGGAGCACGCGGAUAUACGAGCCGUACGCCUGGGCAGAGGUA
rnacentral:ncRNA from 2 species